rnacentral:rRNA from 1 species
AUGAAGGAAGAUGGAUCAGGAGGUGUGGGGAUUGUGACGGAUCCAUCAAGCAUCUGUGUCACUUUCAGCAUGGUUGGCCGCAUUGUUGGCUCCUCCUGGAGACACCAUAAUGCCACGGCCACGAAGCGUUCCACCUUCUUUAUAUUGAAGAUUGCCUCCUCAUCACCCUUGAUUAACAAGUCAAGCCUCCCACUUCUAUAG